rnacentral:rRNA from 1 species
AUCCUGGCUCAGAUUGAACGCUGGCGGCAUGCCUUACACAUGCAAGUCGAACGGCAGCACGGACUUCGGUCUGGUGGCGAGUGGCGAACGGGUGAGUAAUGCAUCGGAACGUGCCAUUGAGUGGGGGAUAACGUAGCGAAAGUUGCGCUAAUACCGCAUAUUCUGUGAGCAGGAAAGCAGGGGACCGCAAGGCCUUGCGCUCUUUGAGCGGCCGAUGUCAGAUUAGCUAGUUGGUGAGGUAAAGGCUUACCAAGGCGACGAUCUGUAGCGGGUCUGAGAGGAUGAUCCGCCACACUGGAACUGAGACACGGUCCAGACUCCUACGGGAGGCAGCAGUGGGGAAUUUUGGACAAUGGGGCAACCCUGAUCCAGCCAUGCCGCGUGAGUGAAGAAGGCCUUCGGGUUGUAAAGCUCUUUCGGCCGGGAAGAAAUCGCAUGGGCCAAUACCCUGUGUGGAUGACGGUACCGGAAUAAGAAGCACCGGCUAACUACGUG